UGCAACUAGAGGGCACAGCCAUUUUCUUCCCAAUAAUGCACCAGGAGAAGGAUGCAACAUCAUGACAUUACUUCCUGCUCUGGUGCAUUCUGGGACAAUUUGAAUUGCUGCUGCUGCCACUGCCUUCUUUCUUGCUGCCACUUUCUUCAGGGAAUCCCAGAUAUUCAGGAAAGCCCAGGAUUAUGUACUCUGACGGGCAGCAUUUCUCCAAGGUCCCUGGCAGGAGUCUUCAACAGCCAUGCCUGGAGGUACCAGAGAUUGAACUUGAGACUUUCUAUCAAUAUCCCUGAGACCCUGGACUUUGGAAUGCACUCCCUGCCAGGAUAUGAGGCUGCAAACCGCCUAGAGACUAGUGAUUGGGCGGUAUGUCCGUGUACUGAAUAAAACAAACAAGCAGGCAAGCAAAUGGGCCUUCCUAGCUUUGUCCAAGAGUGCAAACACAAACACACCACCCUGCUGCCUGUGCCAUUUCCAGCAUCCAUGCCACAGGUUGUUCAGCCUGUAGCCUAGGGCUUCUGAAAGGCAAAUUCAGCACACCUGGAACAAAAUCUACUUGUACUUCCUUAUGGAGGAUGUUACAUCGGAAGCUGCCUUAUACCAAGUCAGACCUCUGGUCCAUCUAGCUCAGUAUUGCCUACCCUGUCUGGCAGUGGCUCACCAUGAUUUCACAAAGGAGUCUUUCCCAGCCCUACCUGGAGAUACCAGGGAUUGAACCGAGGACCAUCUGCAUGCAAAACAGGUGCCAAGAAGUUCAAGCACCCUCCAUAUUCCACAGCAUUAUAGGCUGCUGUAGCACAUCCUUGGACUAAUGCAAGUCUCUUUUUGUGUAGCCCUAUUCAGACAUUAUGUUGUACCCAGGGCCGUGGGGCCUCCUUUGCGAGCUAAGCUACGCCCCCUGCAUCUGAUGUCAGAUGCAGGGGGCGUGGCUUAUUUAUGUAUGUAUGUAUAUACUGCCCAAAACUUGCAUCUCUGGGCUUAAUGAUGUCAGAUGCAUCUGAUGCAGGGGGCGGGGCUAGGGUCGUGGUGGCCACCGCUGGUCUCUUUCUGCCCCUGGCAGUGGGGCUGCUGGUUGGUUCAUUGCUCUCCUCUCCUGCCUACCUGACCCAUUGGCAAGCUGCUGACUCCUGAUCAGAGUGCGAGGAGAGUGUGAUAUUAUUUCCAUAGGAGUGGGAGAAAUAGUCUGCUGAGAUUGUUAUAUUUUUCAACAUGUCCUUAACAUUCUUCUGCAGCAAAAGCAGGGGGCAGGGGGGGAGAAGGCAGGGGGCCCAGAGGCCCAUCUUCAUUUCUUAUCCCAUGGCCCCCUUCAACCUUGUUAUGCUUCUGGUUCAAUAAAACAAUAUCCCCAGGGUGGCCACUAGGAUAAAAACGUACAAUUUAAAAUAAUAAUUAAAACAGAGCAAAAUAAAUAAAUAAAAAUAGCAGAGACCACAGAAUAAACAACAGCAAGGUACCAUUAAAAGCAGCUCAGUCGAUACUGUAAAAAGGCCCAGGGAAAUUUUAAAAGGCUGAAAAGACCCAAGAAGGUGCACCAAGCAAACUCCCCUGAGGAGAGCAUUCCGAAAAUGCCCUCUCCAUAGUUGCCACCCAUCUUCUGAAAGUGGGGCCCCUUGAGAAAGGGCCACGGGCAACUCUCUUACUGUACAGGCUGGUACAUGUGAGAAAAGAUCAUUUGUAUAGGUAAGCACCACCAGCACUUUGAAUUGUGUUCCGAAACAGACUGACAGCCAAUGAAGCUAUUUCCAAAUUGGCAAGAUGAGUUCCCUAAACCUGGACUCAGUUAGCAGCCUAGCGGUUGUAUAUGUCACACACAAAGGCAGAAAUUGCUAUCCUGUUGUUAGGGGGCUAUUACACCUUUGCAGAACCUUAAACCUGCCAGAAUUUAAUGCCUUUGGGUUCUUCACUUUGAAUUUUCAAGCUCUCUCGCUCUCUCUCACGCUCUUGCUCUCUCGCUCUCUCUGUAUAAAGAGAUUAGUAGCAAACAUCAUCUCAUACCUUCUCCUAUCCAACCUUGUAAAUCUGAUGCUGCCCUUGGUUAAAAGCACCGGUGUUAAAUACUAACACCACUCCUCUCCUUGUGCCUUUCUGACUCUUUGCUUUUCUUUGCAGAUUUCAAGGUGAUGACAAAAGAGAGAACAGUCUUAGCAUUUGUUAAUACCCACUUGACCCACAAAAGAAAUUCACUAGUAUUUGCAGCUUCUAAUUUAAAAACCAUUAGACCGUUCCGCUUGGCGGACCAGAUCUAAAUAUUCUUAAAGGGGUGGUUUAAUUUAAUCAUUACCUUAACAAGCCCCCUUUUAAAAUGAUGAUCCGCCAAAUUCAGGGGAUUUGUUUUGGAAUCUGAUCCAAUAACUGGCUUUGCACAAAGAGAAGCAUAGCUGCAUCUGAUUUGGUUCAGAACGGGGUGAUAAUCAUGAAAAUUACUUUGCAUAUUUAAUCACUGUGAAAACAUGAGUACAAACUACUUUCUAGAGAUUACCUUAAAAAUGAAGGGGGGGGGGAAGCUUCAGGCUUUGCAGCAAGCAUGCCAAGUACUUUGAUUUACAGAGAAUUAUUUGGAUUUUAUAGAAAGCUCAGUGUUUCAAAGACUUCAAGCUAGUCAGCCACUGGCAAAGAAACAGUUUUCACAGUGAAGGCGAAAGGGGGGAAAGGAAGAGAAGAGAAGAAAAACUCAUGACUUCUUUAAAAAUAAUUUUCAGACCAAUUGCUUCAGCCUGUGCAACUCAGAGGUUUUUUUAAAUGUAAAUUCAAAAAAUAUAAUAAUGCUACUGAAAUAAUUUUACUACUGACCAAGGAAUCCAAGCGGUUUCAUAUGUUUAAUUUCUUUCCAGGGUGCCUCCUAAGAUCUGUAAAUUUUAACUCCUUCACAAAAUAAAAUGUUAGCUCAGAAAACAUCGCAGUUUAAUUAAAAAACAAAUAUAUUCUAGAGCUGAGAUGAAAAUAUUCACUGGUUUUCCACUAACAUUUUCAGAAGUGCCAAAAAUGCCUGCCUUUUUUGUCAGUUUUCAACACUCACUGUGAAAAUGUUUGCUUAUUUAUCUUUAUUUCCCUCACUUGCAUUUGCUCAAUUAGUUUUCAGUGACAUCAUCACGUAGCCAGAUCUUAUAAGUUAUGUAUGCUAUGACAUCAUCCUGCUCACUGUGUGGUUCCUAACUGGAUGGGACAGAUCCACAAAGGAGGAAGGAGUUGCAGCAGCCAGUGGGAAUAAUGGAACAGGAUAAAAGAAAAGUGAAUCUUUGUAUAAUUGCUUUCCUGGGUUAAAAAAAAUCUACUCCAUGAAAACUGCUAGUUUCUGUCUGAAAAUCAAAACUGGAAAAAUGUUCAGUGUAGCCUUAAUAUAUACUACAGUGCAGCAGAAAGAGAGAAAUACUACACUCACUAUUCCUAAGAACCAGGAUUAUCAACUGAUUAAAUAAUCUGCAAUUAAUUGAUUAAUCAUUUGUCAACUGUUUAAACAUUUAAUAUAUCAAUUACAUUUAAAUAAACUUGCAUAUUCUCAAAUCAUUAACAUAGAAAGUGUAGGAAGUAUGAAAUAACUUGCAAUUGAAUAAAUACAAUAUCGUUUAUUUCUUCCUGAUCAGAAAGGAAAAAUCUUUACUCUCCUUUUCCCCCCAUUCUCUGCUAAAACAACCUAGAAGAACAAAAUAUACGCUUUUAAAAUGUACCUAAAUAGGCUUUAUUGGCUAAAAUUGAAGCCUAAUGACUAACCAACUAAUACGAAAGUUGAUUGAUCCACCUAUUUAUCCAAUGAAAACUUGCAGCCCUACUAAGAAUUAAGUCAGAGAAAACUGAGCAACAACUGGAAUUAAAAGCUGAUAAGAAAAUGAGAACGAGUCCCCUCAGUCCUUUUACUGCAUACAAAAAUGUUUGGAGCAUAUAUAAGCUAAACUGAAAAUUCCAUAUAUUUGAACACAUAUCUGGCAGCAGCCUUUUUGUAGGACAGC